rnacentral:rRNA from 1 species
UACGGAGGAUGCAAGCGUUGUCCGGAUUUAUUGGGUUUAAAGGGUGCGUAGGCUGUAUUAUAAGUCCGUGGUCAAACUCCUUAGCUUAACUAAGGAUGUGCCAUUGAUACUGUAGUACUUGAGUAUUGUUUAGGUAGAUGGAAUUGGUAGUGUAGCGGUGAAAUGCAUAGAUAUUACCAAGAACACCGAUAGCGAAGGCAAUUUACUGAGCAAUAACUGACGCUGAGGCACGAAAGUGUGGGUAUCAAACAGG